GUAUAUAUCUAUACUCUUGUGACGCAAAAUCUGGUUUUUCCCCAAAAAUAUGCAAAUCCAAAGUUAGGAGUAUAAAUGAAUUUGGGAUUAUUUAUAAAUAAUGUAUAAAUUUGUGUUCUUGAAAUCAAGUUGGGGGCUUUGCUUGAAUCUGGUUGUAUUGUAAAAAAAUGGGUUUAGAUCAAAUUGUGGGGCUGAUUUGUUGUUAAAAUCGGAGCAGUGGGCUGGUGGUGGUAGCUGGCCGGAGCUCGCGUCGGCGUCGCCGACGGAGCCCGCGGCGGUGCGCAGCGACGGUGAGCGAAACAGAGAUGGUGAGGAAAGCAAGAGAGAGGGAGAGGUAUGUGUGGGCUGUGUGCGUGUGUACGUCGGGGAGGAAGCCGACCGUGGCAGCGAGAUGGUGGUGAUUGGCAGCGAGAAGAGAGAAAGGGAGAGAGAGAGAGAGAGAGAGAGAGAGAGAAAGAGAGAGAGAUUAGAGAAUAGAGAGAUGAGAGUAGGCCACCAGAGCCAUACUCCGGCCGGCGGGGAAGAAAUGGUGAAGAGAAGAGGAAGAUGGGGAGAGAUGGAGAGAGUAGUUUAAUAAUUAUAUAAUUAAAAAUUUCUAUAUGUAAUAAAAGGUAAUAAAUUUGGGUUUUUAAGUAAUAUAGGUUGAAUAAGGGAUUUGGGGUAAUAAAAAUUAUUGGAUUUGGGGUUAAGAAUUUCAAUUGAAAAAGAGCAGCGUACAAAUAUUAAUUUAAAAAUGUUUUGAUUAAUAAAAAUACUAUUUUGGGUAUAGAUAUAUAUAAUAAGGACACGGA
rnacentral:lncRNA from 1 species